rnacentral:rRNA from 1 species
UACGGGGGGGGCGAAGCGUUGUUCGGAAUUACUGGGCGUAAAGGGCUCGUAGGCGGCCAACUAAGUCAGACGUGAAAUCCCUCGGCUUAACCGGGGAACUGCGUCUGAUACUGGAUGGCUUGAGAUUGGGAGAGGGAUGCGGAAUUCCAGGUGUAGCGGUGAAAUGCGUAGAUAUCUGGAGGAACACCGGUGGCGAAGGCGGCAUCCUGGACCGGUAUUGACGCUGAGGCGCGAAAGCUAGGGGAGCAAACGGGG